CAAUAGCGUAUAUUAACGUUGUUGCAGUUAAAAAGCUCGUAGUUGGAUCUCUGGAGGGAGCGUCGGCCCGUAUUUACGAGUGCGUGACGUCUCUGUCCAUCCUUGCGGGAAGGCACGGCAUUGAUUUGUUGUGUCGGAUCGCAUCAUUUACUGUGAAAAAUUAGAGUGUUCAAAGCAGGCUUUCGCUUGAAUACAUUAGCAUGGAAUAAUAAGAUAGGACUUUGGUGCUAUUUUGUUGGUUGAGCCUAAAGUAAUGAUUAAUAGGGAUAGUUGGGGGCACCUGUAUUGCGUUGUCAGAGGUGAAAUUCUUGGAUUUACGCAAGACAAACAGCUGCGAAAGCGUCUGCCAAGGAUGUUUUCAUUAA
rnacentral:rRNA from 1 species